rnacentral:rRNA from 1 species
UGGUGGAGUGAUUUGUCUGGUUAAUUCCGUUAACGAACGAGACCUUAACCUGCUAAAUAUGCCGCGCUAACCCGUCCAUCAAAACCCAUGCGUGGCUCACGCGGUCCGCUGCGGGGUGGUGUCGCUUCGCGGCGAUGUCAUCCCGCCGGCAGGGCCCGGGUCCGUGUGGGCGGUAGGGUUCGGCGUCCGUGCUUCUUAGAGGGACUGCUGCGCGCCUAGCCAGCGGAAGUUUGAGGCAAUAACA